UUAAUGGUUUAGAUAAUUAAAGUGUAAAUAUUACUGAACUUUGCGGUUAUGCAAAGACUUUGGAAGUGGUUGUGCCUCUCCACUCCUAAAUUCCAUGAUUGACACAAUGCCAGGAGCUGCAGAGCUCUGAGAGCGAACAGCAGAGAGGAGAGGAGAACAGCAGAAGGGGGGCUGAGACUCCCGACUGCACAUGGGCGACCCUAGAAAAAACAGGGCCCCAACAUAUUUGACGUCUGUCGAAUCACUAUGAGUCAAUAAACCAUAAAAUUUAAAGAAUAUGGGAAAUCUGGAUAAUUAACAACAACUUAAACAGGGAAACUGAAAAGGAGGCUUGUGAUCAAAAGGUACUUCUAAAUGAGUUCUCUUUUGGUUGGUUCACCAUUGGGACUGAUUAUUAAAAUACAAGUUUAAUGUAAGAAACAGCUGAAAUUAUAGCAUUUACAGUGAUUAAUAAGGUCUAAUUUGAAUAGAAUUAGAGUUGUCAAAGAAUAGGUUGUGAUAAUUGUCAUCCUUAAAAAAAAAUUAUAAAAAAAUAAGUGAAAGUGAGAAGUAGGAUGGUGAAUUAAUUAUUUUGCCAUUGGGAAACCUCUGUGAAUUUAUGUGAUAACAUCCAAAAUUAUAAAAUGACUUCAGAAAAUUGGUUAAUUUCGGUACAGGGGAAGUAAUGAACAAAAUAGAACAUAAGAAAACUUAAGGAAUCAACUCAUUAAUCUCUAAAUGGUGGAUCUGAUGAAAAGGGUUGCACAUACUGAAAUGGCACUGAAGGAGAAAUGCCUAAUGAAGCAGCUGACUGGUGAUGGUAUAACCUGAAGUUUGUCAACACGGAGAACCAGAACAAAAUCUUCCUCGGCAGGAAUCCUGCAUGGAUUCCAGAGCACUGGCUCAGUGCCUGCUCAGACAUGGAGCAGCGAAGGACGCUCAGGCCGUCAGGAAACACGGCUGAGCAAAGGAAGCGGUCUCCACAUCCGUUGACAGAAUGCCAUGGAAGAGAGCUGAUGUUUGUGAAAACCCAGUGACUGAAGGUCCACCACAAGAAUUAGCACAAUCCAAUCAAUUCAUUUAAUUCUGGAGGUAAAGUAAAACAAAUAUUGAGAAUGGCAACUAGUUACUAUAAAGUAACAAAAUUACAUAAGUGGCUAAAAUUGAAUUGUCCAGUGUAAUUAUUAACAGAAAAAUUCCCCUUCCCCAGUAAAGUUAACAUUUUAUUUUAUUCCUUUGAAGGUCAACCAGCAGAGUGUUGAAUAAUAAAGACGAUGGGUUCUCCUAUGACAAAGUAAUUAAUUACCUCAUGCACUGUUAAUUAGGAAAUAGGCACUUUUAAGAAGAGGAUAGCAGGUUUUGAGCAUUACAGAACAAAUUAAGUAUUCAACACUAGAGUAUCACAUUAUGAUUAAAUGACACGAGUUGAUUAGGAAACCAAUAACUUAUGUAUUUGAAAACAGAAUUAUUCUGCAAGUAUUGUUAAACUACAUAAACAGUAGAAUAAGAUUAGAGUCAUAAAGUAAAAGAAUUUGGUUUGAAGAAAUUUCAGAAAUAGUAUUGAACCCUAAUAACUAAGUACUUUUAUUUAUUUCCUUUAAACUUUAGACAAGAAGGACAUGUUAUUAUUACUAACUUCUCUUUGCUAUUAUACUAAUAUUCUUAAAGUGGUUUGGAACAAAUUCUGCGAAGAAACACAUAUCACAAGCCUCUGCUCAGUUCAUCCUGUUUUUCAGAAAUUGAGAUUCUGUCCGGUUCUGGCCACCCUUUUUUCUGAUGGAAGACAUCAAAAAAAGACGAGAAGAACAGCUGUAAAUUGAGCAUGGAGAGACGGUAUGAUAAAUUAUAAAGUGAAAAUCAGACUUAUGUCAACCUCUGAUUUAAGCAAUCAAAUUUUCAAGUAACUUAAAUAGAUCUCUCUGGCAAAACGUUGUCAAAAGGUUAGUGUAAUAGUUGUUCGCGUAAACAUAUUAUUUAAGGUCACAUGGAUGCUUGUGAUCAUACCGGUAGGACAUAGAAAACUAAUAUUAUAACUUAAAUCUAGGUCUUACCUUUGAGGAAAGUAGGUUUCCAGGCAAUAACUUAGGAAAAAGGGAACUCAACUUUUAUUAAAAAGAAAUGGGAAUAACUACUGUUAUACGAACAAGAUGUGGAAGAUUAUUUAGCUAUUUCUGGGAACAGUUCCACAAACAUUGAUCAACAGAUAACUUUAUCUUAACAGUUGACCUCUGUUGGUAAACACAGGGUGUCAUGUUCUGGACUUUUGCUCCCUUUGCCUCGCUAGCGAGGACACACAGACCUUAGAUGUUUUCCCAACUUCUGUACAGAUAUUUCCUCGGCAAAGAAAACUGAAAAUAAACAAUGUUAAACUAGUUAUUGAGUAGUAAAUUGGGUUACAUUGCUGAAACAAAAUUUUAAGUAUUUUAAAUAAGGUUACUUUUUUCUCGAAACUGAAAUAUUAUCAUUAUUAAAAGAGAAGCAAACAUUAGCCUGAAUUAUCUUAAACUUGGAGGAGACCUGAAGUUUCAAUGUGACGUUCCUAUUAACUCUGCCAUAAUUCUACUUAAAAGGAAGAUAAAACCUAGGUACUUCUCUAUAAAAAGGAUGAGAAAGAAAAAGACGAGUUAUACGCUAUUUCAUAAAGAAUGUGUAAACAGGAAACGACAAGAGAAGGUAGAACAUAGCCUGAGUCCCGUCUGUCUCUGAGGAAUUUUCCUUUCAUUACAUUUCUUUCUUUUUUUUUUUUUGUGCUUAUGACUCUGGAUUAAACUCAUUACACCUGGCAAUGGUACGCAACUCUUAUUGCACAAUUAUCCAAACAGUUGGACAAGCAACAAACUACUAUGUGGAAAAAAAAAAAAAAAAAAAACAGUUUUCCUAACUGUGCACAUGCUGAUUUAUAAAGUAUUUAUGGUUGUAAAAGCAAAUUAUCUUGCAGAAAAUGUGUAAAUUCCACAGAUUUACAACAGGCAAAUUGAACAGGAUAAGUAUACGCAGAACAAAACAUAUUUGAUUAAUCUUGGAAUUGCGAAAAAGGAUAAGGACAAAAGGUUCAUGUGUAAGUUAUAUUUUAGUACUGUGAAUGGAAUUAUAAACAAUUCUAACUAAAUUACCCGAGUUACUAAAAGAGGGAAAAACUGGUUGAAGUUCCAAACCUUUUAUGGAGAAAUAGAGCGGAGAUUACAUAUAUAGAAAGUAAUUGCACCCCACGGUCCCGCUGCAGUCUAUGUCUGCCUAGUCUCUGAAUUUAUUUCAUCCUAGCGUCCCUUAUAAUUAUCCCAUAGCAGCCGACAGUUAGAAAAACAUUGACAGUUUAUCCUACUAUGUGAGAAACGCUGCGUAAAACUAUUCAUUAAGUGACUAUUUGAUUAACAUUUAUUUCUUGUUUGUUCACUUUUGAGCUUUCAUAGACAAGUAGUCGUUACAAAUACCUUAAGAUGGAGAUGAAGAGUUGUUCAUUCACAAGUUUGGAAAGAAGUUUGGUAAACAUUAGUGAGGUCGGACUGACCUCGGAGUAAAGAGAGCGAUAACAUUGUUUAACUGUAGUGUUCCAAAGAUAAGUCAAGUAGCGGAAUUAAUCGGUCGGUUUGUGCUUUUGAGCCAAAACGUUUACCAGGAGUGAAGACCGGGCUGCCAACAGCUGGAGACAUCUGGACACUAUCUGGCUGCUUAGUUACAGUUACACAAAGACUUUAACACAUACGAGGACCACUUAGGAAUAAAGUGACAAAACAUGAGUUAAGCAUUCAAUAAAGCGGCAUACUGGUUAUUAGUGUCUAAUUUGGAGUUGAAGAAAAGAAGCGGCAGAUGGAGAGGACGUGACCAAUACAGACCAUAAAAUCUCAGACCUAUGUAAAAUCAUGAUAACUAAAACAGAUUAGAAUGAGAGGGUUUUUGAGAAAGCUGGAGUAAAGGUAUUUAUUCUUGAAUAUUCUUGUCAACCGCUCGCACAUUAAUGAGUCACUGGCUGAGAAGGACGGACUCACCAAGGAAUAAAGGAGUUGAUGUUUAUAUUGAAACUCAUCGCUCUGUUUAAAUAGGGAAUCGUUCAGUUCAGAAUGUUCCAAGCUUUAAAGAGCCAUUACGUGUUCACAAUAUCUGAAGUCCUACAUCUGGGAACACUUUCAAAUUACAAAUCCAGGAAUGGUAAUUUCUAUGAGGGUUGUAGCCACAUCAAAUCUAGUCUGAAUGAUUAGCACACGAUCAGGUUUAAGGUAAAAUUAUUGUAUUAAAGUCGAGGUAGGUUUAGAAACUGAUGAUCCAGGAACAGUAUAACAAACUAUAAAAGGGAAAACCUCUCUGUAAAGUGCAGGCAAGAAUAGAGAGAAGACAGGGUCUUCUGCUUCUAAAUCAAUGAUAGCGUUUAGACAGAAAACAUUGAAUUUUUAGAUGUUUGAAGCACCAACAAUAACUUAAUACAUACGGCAUUUAAAGGGUAAAUAGGCAACAUGUAUAUUGUAUUAGAGGAAAGUAGAAAUCAAGCGGUUACAGUUACUCUGAUGAACACUCUGAUCAUAAUAUUGUGGUUAAGGACAUAAGGGGGGUGUUUAGAAGUUAUUGGCAUACUUGCUUAAGACUAGUGGGAGUACAUUAAUUAACACUAAAUAAGAAGUUAAACUCAACGUGGUAAGGGCGACUCACGUGGAAGUAAAUACUAUUUAGUGGUUUAAACUAAACAUUUUUGAAUGAAUCUGAGCAGUCGGUUACAUUUUUGGAUUAGGAUUGCAGUGCAGUACAGAGUAAUGAAUAAUUGAAACUUUUUUUUCUAAAUUCCUGAACAACAGAGAAUUGAAACAUAUCACUUAGUUUUACUUAAGUUCUGGAAGGAAAAGGGGGCCUUAACUUCUAACACUUCUUCUUCUUUUCUUCUACUUUUGCUUCUUUAUCAUGCAUGAAAACCCUGGUCACUAAAUUUUAAUCGUAAAGAUGGAUAUUUCUGUUAGAGAUAUCUUUCGGGAGCAGACAGAGAGCAGAUUUGUACAGGAGAAUGGCUGAAUCUGUGUACUGGCGGAGUAAGCCCUGUGAACAUAUCUUUUCUAAAUUGUGAAUUUUGAUGAAUGAUUUUGUGACAAAUGAGGACAUUGUUAAACCUUUUUUGAUAAAUAUGUGUAAAGUCACUAUUUUGCCGUUGAUGUGGACUUUCAGUUCUAAAUGUGCUCAUGUAUUUUAUUUUCUACUGUUCCUAUGUCCUGGAGUGGAGCAUGGUUCAUGGAGGAUGGGAUGAAUUGUCACCGAAGCAGACUUUCAUGUAUGGGCUGAUAAUAUAAUGAGAAAAGGUGAUGUUAUUAGAAAACAAUUCGAACAUUUUUUCAGUAAGAACAUUGCUUUAGCUGCUACAGGUUGCAUGUUCUGCUGUGGCUGAACAUUCUACAUUAUUUUCAACCAUUCUGUUCUCUAUGUUCUUAAUAUUUUGUUUUUAAUUGAGUCGGCAUAGUUGUUGUUUUUGUAUUGAUUUACGCUUUCAGGUGAGCGAUCUUGGAAGGUAUUUAAGUUUGGAAGUUCAAGUCGAAUACACACAAAAAGAUCAUGUUGCAGGAUAAGUUAAGGUGCAAUUACGUAUACACAGAGUGUUGUAAGGUUAUUAGUGAAUUCUUACAACUUAUACUCAGUAUGAGUUGAGAUAAAACUGAAAUGAAAUCAGAUGGACACUAAACAUCAAUGUUAAAGAAAAUGUACAUUAGCCCCAUUGACAUUUUAAGGAUAUCAUCAUGAGACUAGUGAAGACUCUGAGCUGGGAAAUCAUUGUAAUAUACGAUACUGGUUAGUUUUUUCCUGUCCCCCUAGGGCGACCCAGGGACGUAGAAGGGCCUGGUCCCUCUUUGUGUGCUGGACUAAGGGACUCAGAGGCAUGAUGUUUGCAACAGAGGGGGCCCUGCACCAGGACUGUAAGAAAGCAGUGCAAUUUAAUCAAAGGACCCUGGAGAGCGACAUACGGUGUCAGCGACAUGAGGACAAGAAAUUUGCCACACUACGAAGCUGCCAAUCC